UUUCCUUUGCUGGCGACCGGCGCACGGGUGAGUAACACGUAUCCAACCUGCCCUUUACUCGGGGAUAGCCUUUCGAAAGAAAGAUUAAUACCCGAUAGCAUAAUGAUUCCGCAUGGUUUCAUUAUUAAAGGAUUCCGGUAAAGGAUGGGGAUGCGUUCCAUUAGGUUGUUGGUGAGGUAACGGCCCACCAAGCCUUCGAUGGAUAGGGGUUCUGAGAGGAAGGUCCCCCACAUUGGAACUGAGACACGGUCCAA
rnacentral:rRNA from 1 species